rnacentral:rRNA from 1 species
GCGGAGGAAAAGAAACUAACAAGGAUUCCCCUAGUAGCGGCGAGCGAAGCGGGAAGAGCUCAAAUUUGUAAUCUGGCGCUUUCAGCGUCCGAGUUGUAAUCUCUAGAAAUGUUUUCCGCGUUGGACCGCACACAAGUCUGUUGGAAUACAGCGGCACAGUGGUGAGACCCCCGUUCAUGGUGCGGAUGCCCAAUGCUUUGUGAUACAUUUUCGAAGAGUCGAGUUGUUUGGGAAUGCAGCUCAAAUUGGGUGGUAAAUUCCAUCUAAAGCUAAAUAUUGGCGAGAGACCGAUAGCGAACAAGUACCGUGAGGGAAAGAUGAAAAGCACUUUGGAAAGAGAGUUAACAGUACGUGAAAUUGUUGGAAGGGAAACGCUUGAAGUCAGACUUGCUGUUCGGAGUUCAGCCGCAAGGUGUACUCUCCGAGUUGCAGGCCAGCAUCAGUUUUCUGGGAUGGAAAAUCACGGUUUGAAGGUAGCAGUUUCGGC